rnacentral:rRNA from 1 species
GACGAACGCUGGCGGCGUGCUUAACACAUGCAAGUCGAACGAAGUGGCGAACGGGUGAGUAACGCGUAAACAACCUGCCCUUCAGAGGGGGACACAAGUUGGAAACGACUGCUAAUACCCCAUACUGAUGAGGGGGUUUGCGUCUGAUUAGCUAGUUGGCGGGGUGACGGCCCACCAAGGCGAUGAGCAGGAGCCGGUCUGAGAGGAUGAACGGCCAAAGUGGGACUGAGACACGGCCCAGACUCCGACGGGAGGCAGCAGUGGGGAAUCUUCCGCAAUGGACGAAAGUCUGACGGAGCAACGCCGCGGGAGUGAUGACGGCCUUCGGGUUGUAAAGCUCUGUUAAUCGGGACGCGGUACCGGAAUAGAAAGCCACGGCUAACUACGUGCCAGCAGCCGCGGUAAUUC